CUAGCGGCAGGCCUAACACAUGCAAGUCGAGGGGUAACAGGGAGCUUGCUCCGCUGACGACCGGCGCACGGGUGCGCAACGCGUAUGCAAUCUACCUCUUACUAAGGGAUAGCCCAGAGAAAUUUGGAUUAAUAUCUUAUGUGAUAUUAGACUGGCAUCGGUUUAAUAUUAAAGGUUACGGUAAGAGAUGAGCAUGCGUCUCAUUAGUUAGUUGGUAAGGUAACGGCUUACCAAGACUUCGAUGAGUAGGGGUCCUGAGAGGGAGAUCCCCCACACUGGUACUGAGACACGGACCAGACUCCUACGGGAGGCAGCAGUGAGGAAUAUUGGACAAUGGACGGAAGUCUGAUCCAGCCAUGCCGCGUGUAGGAAGACUGCCCUAUGGGUUGUAAACUACUUUUAUACAGGAAGAAUAAGAUCUACGUGUAGAUUGAUGACGGUACUGUAAGAAUAAGGACCGGCUAACUCCGUGCCAGCAGCCGCGGUAAUACGGAGGGUCCGAGCGUUAUCCGGAAUUAUUGGGUUUAAAGGGUCCGUAGGCGGGCUGUUAAGUCAGAGGUGAAAUGCUGCGGCUCAACCGUAUGCACUGCCUUUGAUACUGGCGGUCUUGAGUUAUAGUGAAGUGGCUAGAAUAAGUAGUGUAGCGGUGAAAUGCAUAGAUAUUACUUAGAAUACCGAUUGCGAAGGCAGGUCACUAACUAUACACUGACGCUGAUGGACGAAAGCGUGGGUAGCGAACAGGAUUAGAUACCCUGGUAGUCCACGCCGUAAACGAUGGAUACUAGCUGUUCGGUUUUCGGACUGAGCGGCCAAGCGAAAGUGAUAAGUAUCCCACC
rnacentral:rRNA from 1 species